AAAAACCCGGGGUUGGGAAGUAACCCAUUUGGAGCUAGCCGUCGAAGGUGGGACAAAUGAUUGGGGUGAAGUCGUAACAAGGUAGCCGUAUCGGAAGGUGCGGCUGGAUCACCUCCUUUCUAAGGAUAAUAUACGGAAUAUCGCUUUUAAGCGAUAAGGGAUAACGGAGACAUAUUGUAUUCAGUUUUGAAUGCUCAUUUUGAGGAUUCAACAUUGUACAUUGAAAACUAGAUAAGUAAGUAUAGAUUUUACCAAGCAAAACCGAGUGACAAGCGAAAAGCUUGAAACAAAAAUUAUCGCUAGUCGUCGACAGACGACUCACAAUAAUUAAUAACUGGUAGAUGUUGGUUAUUGUUUAAUUCGAAAGCCGAAUGUGAACGAUUGCCAAAACAUCCA
rnacentral:misc_RNA from 1 species